AUAUUAAUGGAGUUCCAAUCACAAAUUAUAACUUUGGAUCUUCUCUCCAAUCUAUCACAUCCUAAAACCUUUUGAUGAAAGUAAUAAAAAUAAAAACACAGAAAAGCACUCCUUUGCCUCUAACAUGGUGACAAAGCUUAUAUAGUUAAGUUAAAACUCGUCAUGGGUAAUCUUGUAAAUUGGUGAAGACUUGGGCUUCAAGUCGGCUGUGACCAAACAGGCUUUCUGCGCGCUUCGCUGUCGAUCGAUGUUCAGGUGUGGUCGAGCUCGAUGGUCAUCUCGGGUGCAUGCUCCAAAUAUCUCCAAAAUGCUCCAAAAUCAACACUUAACUCGAUGGUCAUCUCGGGAUCUUAUAAAUAUAAUAAAUAGACUCUAUAAUAUAAUAAUAGAUAGUAAAAACACCUAUAAAUCAUGGAUGAAAAUAUGUCAAAUUCAUGGUAUAUCAACUAAUCAAAGCUCUCAUUGAGUUAGAUCAUGGGAAAUAGAUCUAUCAAAACGACGGCGAUUCAAGACGUUUGGCUGAUACUUGUGAAAUUGCCACUUGGUCUUCUUCUUCCCGUUGUCUCGGGUCGUUCUCCAAAUCUGGGUUCGAUGCUUAGUGGGAUUCAAUCAGCAGUAGGAGAGAAUGAAGUCGACGGGUUUGUAACAUGGUCCAGAAAGUUGCUUGAAAAAAAAUCAUCUUUGCGAUGUUCAGACACAUCAUCUCUCGACUCUUGACUACGUGGCGGAGAGUGAGCAUCAGAUGUUUCUAGCAAAGAAGUCCCCAUAGCCAAAAGAUAUCUAAGCAUUAUCCAUCACUUGGCGUAUGUUCUUCCUCAAGGUGUUAUCCAGUUGAUUCGAACGGUCACGAAGAUGAGUGGUAGAGAGUAACCAUGAUCGUCCUGUGAAGCUCCAUUUCUCAGAUGGGUCUACUGUGUUUGCAGAUCAUGUUACUUCUCUUACUCUUUAGGUGUGCUUGAGACAAGAUUGAGAGUAAUAAUGGAGGAGGACGGUUGCCUGAUUUGAAAUCAGAUACUAUCAAGAGGUUCAUUGUUUUCUUUCCUCAAUAAAAACUUUCUUCUGCGUUUUUCAUAACUUGCAUAUCUAUCUAUUAAUCAUUUUCUAUGCCAUUUCUGCUACACUUCAUUUUCACGUACCUGGUCGGAGUUAGAGAACAGAGGUAGCAUAUACAAAUAGAGAAGGAACCUGAUAGCCUGACUUCUUGAAUGGCAUUGACUGUCUUCACGAGUUAUUAUGUCCACGUCGUUUGUCUCAGUUCCACGGUAAUAUCUUAACUCUUUACUGUGAGAUACACCAUGUUCGGUGGCUAUUUUUUUGGUUGUUUUACUGGCUGUUUUCAGUAGAUAAAAUGGAAUUCAUGAAUCUAAAGAGAAAUAGGAUUGUUCACGAUGGUUUAUGUCUAAUUAAAUAAUGCAGAUUAUUGAUGGCCUAAGGAUAUAAGUAUUGAAAAAGGACAAGAAUUAUGUGCCAAGUGUUUUCAGUGAGAUCUAAACAAUUACAUUUACAUUUGUUGUUUACACAUUUUCUUUGAUUUACCAAAUUGGGUGUUUGACGGUUUGUUCAUCUCCUUCCACACUAAUGGAUUCAUGCACAUAAUCUCAAACAAGUAAGAUAUAUACAUAUGUGUGUGUUUUAUGUUAUUUUACUACAUAUAUCUAAUAGAGUUUCAUUUCCCUAUUUGGUUGACUACUUAAUUGCUACGAUUACGGAUUUCCAAAGAGCUGCCUUGUAUCUAUAGAAUUUCAAUGCAAUGAAAUAUUUUUCGCCAUUACCCUAUUCCAAAUUUCCUUCACCAAAUAUUUUUCUCCAUUACCCGAUUCCAAUUUUACAACGAGCUUACUUAAUAAUGCAGUUUCUUUUGUGCCUCAGUGAGAUACAAUCUUAAAAUUAGGUUAACAGAGUUUCUAAAGUCGGUUAUGGUCAUGAAACCUCAUUUUAAAUCCAUCUUCUCUGUUUGGACAUGUUGUGUUACCUCAUAUCUUGCAGCCACAUGCUAUUUAAAUUUGAAUUAUACUCAUAUAUAUACCUUAACAGCCGUAUAUCAUAAAUUUCCAUGUCUCUUUUACUACCUUAGUCUAAGAAACUUUAUAAUGUCUAUUUGGCAGAUGAUAUCAGCUUUAACAUUGAUAACUCACAUGCUGCAACUGCACAAGCUACUGCUCAUCUCAGAAAAUCUUCUAAAACUCAAAGCAAAUUCAUCCUUGACAUGCCUUCCUAUUCACAUAUUUGGGACUGUCAUCAUCUUUAUCCUAGUCUGAGCAGCAUCAACCGAAGUAGAGUCGAGGAAACUAUACAAGUUACCACAUUAAAGAUAUAUAUAUAUAUAUAUAUAUAUAUAUAAAAUCAUUGUACAUAUUCUUUGUACUGUAUCUUCCUUCAUCCCUUGCAAUCCAAUUGAAUCUUAGCAUUUAUGUAUUAGACCAUGUUAAUGAAUAUUUAUAGCAAAAGGUACGAACAUGUUAUGGUUAAUGUCAUAUUAGUUCUUUUGCUCGAGACGGUCAAGAACCAAAGAUUAUCAUAGUUAGUGGCGGAGCCAGAAAUAUUUUUGUCUGGAGUCAUAAUAUAUAAAUUUAAUAUGUAUAUAUUAUUAUU